rnacentral:rRNA from 1 species
UCGGGUUGUAAAGCACUUUUGUCCGGAAAGAAAUCCUCUGGGUUAAUACCUCGGGGGGAUGACGGUACCGGAAGAAUAAGCACCGGCUAACUACGUGCCAGCAGCCGCGGUAAUACGUAGGGUGCGAGCGUUAAUCGGAAUUACUGGGCGUAAAGCGUGCGCAGGCGGUUUGCUAAGACCGAUGUGAAAUCCCCGGGCUCAACCUGGGAACUGCAUUGGUGACUGGCAGGCUAGAGUAUGGCAGAGGGGGGGUAGAAUUUCCACGUGUAGCAGUGAAAUGCGUAGAGAUGUGGAGGAAUACCGAUGGCGAAGGCAGCCCCUGGGCCAAUACUGACGCUCAUGCACGAAAGCGUGGGGAGCAAACAGGAUUAGAUACCCUGGUAGUCCACGCCCUAAACGAUGUCAACUAGUUGUUGGGGAUUCAUUUCCUUAGUAACGUAGCUAACGCGUGAAGUUGACCGCCUGGGGAGUACGGUCGCAAGAUUAAAACUCAAAGGAAUUGACGGGGACCCGCACAAGCGGUGGAUGAUGUGGAUUAAUUCGAUGCAACGCGAAAAACCUUACCUACCCUUGACAUGGUCGGAAUCCUGCUG